AUGCUUGUCUCAUUUCGUGCGGAGCUGCAAAGCUUGGUUGAGUUUGCGCUCCACCUGCUGCGCAAGCUGGAGGACUCUUUGUGCCUGUGGUUGGCACGUGUGUCCGACCUCUUGGAGCAGGCGGAGGUGUCUGAUGGUGAGCGUGGGUUGAGCCCAGCCUCCUUGCAGGGACCUUGCUCCUUAGGCAUUGCCGUUCAUGGUUUGACGCUUCCAAAAGAUGGGAGCAAAGGUAUUGAUGACAUUGGCGACAAGGUUGGUGUCGUGGAGUCUGCAGGGCAGCAUGCGUCGGUCAAGUCUAUGGCCUUGUUUGACAAGGUGGCCACCGAGCUUAGCCUUCCUACUUCUGCCUCCAAUGAGGCGUGGGGCGUUGCAAAGGGAUGCGCAUUGGCAUUUGAGGGCCAAAACACUUCACACAUCUUCAUCGAGCUGGUCAAAAGCCUUUCUGUCGUGCCUGCGAUCACCCAAGGGUUGAUUCACCUUGUCAAUGCAGCAAAGAUCAAGAAUGUCAACCAAAUGGCAGGCGUCGCCUCGGGCGUGGGGACCGCAUGUCAUGAUGUUAGCCAUUAG
rnacentral:rRNA from 1 species